rnacentral:rRNA from 1 species
GAGACUCUGUGCGCGUGCAUAUCAAUAAGCGGAGGAAAAGAAACUAACAAGGAUUCCCCUAGUAACGGCGAGUGAAGCGGGAAGAGCUCAAAUUUGAAAUCUUCAAGGGUUUCCCUUGACGAAUUGUUGUUUAUAGAAGUGUUUUCUGUUAGUAGAGUGGCAAAAGUUCUUUGGAAUAGGACAUCAUAGAGGGUGAGAAUCCCGUAUUUGGUCAUUCUUUCUAGCUUUGUGAUACACUUUCAACGAGUCGGAUUGUUUGGGAAUGCAGUCCAAAAUGGGUGGUAAAUUUCAUCUAAAGCUAAAUAUUGGCGAGAGACCGAUAGCGAACAAGUACGGUGAGGGAAAGAUGAAAAGAACUUUGAAAAGAGAGUUAAACAGUACGUGAAAUUGUCAAAAGGGAAGCGUUUGACACCAGUGUUGUUUUUCCGAAAAUCAAUUAAGAAUGUUUUAUUUUUGAGAAGUUAUGACUUCAUCGGCUUGCUUCUCUCUUUAUGAAACUUUCUUAAUGCACUUUUCGGUUAACAAGUCAACAUCAAUUUCUUUUGUUGUAAAAGAGUCAUUGGAAGGUGGCUUUCUCUUCGGCUCAAAGUGUUUAUAGCCUUUGACCUCUGCAAUCGGAGAGAUUGAGGUCUGCAGCGUAGAUCCUUCGGGGUUAGAUACAUUUGUGCUAAGCUAUAGCCUUGUAUAGACAACUUGUUGACUAUGCUCUAGUCAUGUAGUUUACUCGCUAUGCUAUUUUACCUACGCUUAGGAUGUUGACGAUCAGCUGAGCGCG